rnacentral:lncRNA from 1 species
AAAGAGUUAACAGGAAUAGGAAAGAGGGGAGCAUUAGUCUCUUCAUUAUCUUGGAAUCUCUUGAAUCUCUUUGGGCUCAGUAGUCUCUUUGGGUACUUCUGUCUUCCAGCUUCAGAGAGACUAUGCCAGAAAGCUUAUUGGUAUGGGACUUUGCCAAUCCUCCUUAAUUGCUGAAGGGAGAAUAACACCGAGAAGAAGCCAAAAUAAGAGGGAUUGAUAGUUUCCUUCAUGUCCACUGCUCUAGAGACUUUAGGGAAUUUUCCCUUUGGGUAAAAUCUGAGACUCUCCUGUCUGAGCUCAAUCACCUUACUCUCAAUGGGAGAACGCCUUCAUUUUGUAUUGUCUGGUAUCUAACAGUGGCUUGUGUCUAGAAGACCACUGAAGAACCCAUGAAAGAAAGCAUCAAGAGAUCAUUGCUAUGGGAGCAGACAGAUGAUAAUGGAGACGUCUGGACUCCCAGUAAGCACCUCAAACCGUGGAAGGGACCGCAGCCAGAGGCACGGGGAGCGAAGGAGCAGGCUGACCAGUCCAGCACCACAUCGGCUGCCCGAGACCAGGACGAGAAGCAGACGAGCAUCGCUGCUGUCUCCAGUCAGCUACCUGAUGGUCAAGCGCAGGGCACCGGGAUCGGAGGCAACACUGGUGAAUGCACGCACUCUGAACACUGACAUUACAUUUACUUUGAUGACAUUCACUAUUUUGACAUUGCUGAACAUUUGUCAUGCUGAAGUCUACUGGUCCAUUGUACCCAAGCCUCCUAUUUUGAGAGUGUUAACUUGGAGGGACAAGCCCCCUCUGGUAUAUGUUAACAACACGGACUGGCUACCACACCCUAUUCUAGCCAAACGUAUUCCUCUGGAAUCUGAAGGGGCUCUGUACAACUAUUCAGGAUCUACUGUGUAUCCUCCAUUUUGUAUAUCUUUUAGAAAUUCAUUUAUUGGUAAUUCUGUGUACCACGCAGACAUCAAGCGUGGAUUGUCAAAAAUGCUACUGACAACAGUUAUGUAGGAGUUGGUAUGGGUACGAUAGGAAAGGGAGAUGAGUCACCACGUAAGGCGUUUACAUCUAGACACCCUGCUAACAAGUACUUAUGUCCAAAUCAGAUAGGUACGGUGUACAAGGACUUCAUGGACAGAUUGUUCUGUCCGAACUCCCAGAAAGGUUAAGAUGCCAGCAAUUACAGACUUUAAGGUUUACAAUUGGGCACCCAGGUUACGCUGUG